rnacentral:lncRNA from 1 species
UAAGCUGAAAGAAGCAUAUGAAAAUUGUCAUAAAUUGUUUUCAUAAAUUUUGAUAGUUUUUUAACAAAUUUUAUGUCAUUAAAUAAACUAAAAUAAUCCAAUCUAAAUAGGUUAAAUUAACUAACUAAUGACAUUUUAAAUUUUCACACUCAAGCCGGUGAACCUUCUAGUUUGCUCCAACGAUGUUUUCAAUGAGAAUUUCACACCCUUGAUCAUGGAAGCUUAUAUGCUUCUGCAAAUGACUUCAAUAUAUAAGCUUAACCCAACCUCUCUUGUAAGCUAUUUUUAGUUUUUCUUGGUAAUCCAUGUGCUCUUUUCAUCUGCACAAAAUAGAAAAAAGAAGAAGCAGUAACCGAACAAUAAUACUUAAUUACUAAAAUAAAGUAAUAUUGUUGCAUGAAUAUACCUUUUUUGACAAAAUUAGUGACAAUUAUCAUAAAUACAUUACCUAUUACAAAUUGUUGCAUGCAAUAAAGUAAUAGUACUUAAUUCGUGCAAAUUAGCAAGGUUGUCAGAACCGGACCGGUCAUCGAACCGGCGAGCUCAUCGGUUCAAGGUUCAAUUGGUCGGACCGGGUUCAAUCAGGGUCGAAUUGUUUUUAAUUAAAUAUAUUUUUUAAUUAAUAUAUAAAUAAAUAUAUAUGAAUAAUUGCUCAAUAUUUCAUAAUUUCACACAAUAAAAAGAUAAAAUAUCACAAGUCAAAAUAAAAUAAAAUUUAUAAUUCAAACCAAAUGAAAAAUAGAUGAAAAACAAAAACCUUUUCUAUUCCUACGACGUCGUUGUUUUGUUUCAGAUUUUGUUUAAAAAAAAAUUAAACGACGUUGUUUUGCCCUAUUUUUUUUUAAAAAAAAUAAAAAAUCUGCAAACCGCUUGAACUGCCCGGCCGGUUCGCCGGUCCGACCCCGGUUCACAGGUUUUUUUGCCAGUCGGUUUCCUAUCCGUUUUUUGCUCAAAACCGAAUUUCAUGACCGGUUCACGGUCCGACCAGUCCGACUAGCCGGUCCGGUCCGGUUUUGAUAACCUUGCAAAUUAGUGACAAAAUGUGUUGUUAUUUCAAACGCAUCAUCCAAACACGGUGCCUGAUUUUUAACUAAUCCUAAUUCAAAUUGACACAACUACACAAAAUUAAAAUUAUGUGAUGUGAUGACAUACACAAAGUAACAACACCAACGUCCAAUUUUUGCUGCAUGAAUUCUAAUUCAUCAUUGUUAAUUCUAAAUUACUAUUUUUCCAUAUGAACCUUAAAUUUGUAAUUAUAAAUUUCAAAGCCAAAUUAACAAAUUAUCAUAAAUACAUUAACUUUGUUGCAUGAAUAUACCUUUUUUGACUUUCCGUGAAUAUAUUUCUUUUGACACAUUUUUUCUUCUUAAUUACCUUAAAUAAACUAGGUUCGAACGAGCAUGCUAGCACUCCAGUGGCCACCUAGCAUAUUGCAAGAGACGAGAAUGUAUCAUAAAUUUUUCCCAGAUCGAUAAACGAUGAAACUUCAAUUAGCAAUUGAUAUAUCGUAACUUCUUCCUUGUCUCCCUUUCUUCGUUAGAAUUGAGUAUUGCAAAUCUUGCAAUAGGCUUGUGGACACUGUAGUGCUAACAUUAAAUUAAAUGUAUUAACUCAUGGUUUACUCUAGGGUAAGAAGAAGAAUUUAAUUAAACAAACAUGUCAAACGAAAUAUAUAUUUAUGUGUGUGAAGAAAA